AUAUAUAUAUUCGUUUGUACUACGAUUACUCUCAUACUCUAUGUAUGGUAUUAUCAUAUCGACGCUAUCAGUUCUUACAGUAUCACGAUCAGAGUCAAUUUUAGAAUAGAAGAAGCGAUUAACGGCGGAUCGCAAAGUAAGAAGCUUAUAACAUAAUUGGCAAGGAAGUCGGUAAAUCGAUCAAUCAAUCACCUACAUCCAACCGUCUAACGAAAGAUGAAAAGCCAUCGCGAUAACGAUCCUUCUCACCUGCAGGAUUUUCCGGAUUCACAGACACGAAGCUCGAAUUAUUCCUCAUCGACCACCACUUUUCGUUUUUCGGCUGAAACAUCACAUGCUGGCCAUUCGUCAGCGGCUGAACGAAGAACGAUCUCUGCCCGAUCGACAUCAAGGCGUACACUUCUUCUUUGCAUAUCGUCACGACGACGAAGGAACUCGCGUCUCCUUCCAAGCUGCCUUGUCGAAGAUCGCAGUUCGCCUUGGCGUUACGUCGCUCGGACUUGGUUUUACCCUGGCGCACCCAAUUCACGGUGAAAUUCGACGACAGUAUCAAUCGAUCGUUGGCCAUGGUCCUUAAGGUCCAGUUGCUGAUCUCGAGGAACACCGGCUCUUGGUGGAGAUACUCGCGCCAAGUUUCUCGGUCUUCGUGGGUCGAUCUUCUGUUCCGCGCGCUCUCAUUCGGGAUCACACGAGGGUAAACGAUCUCGUACUCCUGCAAGCUUUGCAGAAAGUCGCUCAUUCGCGACUUAGUAGCGAUCGUGCCGAGCAGCCACGUGG